AAGAUUUAAAGAAAGGGUAAAAAUCAAUGAAGUUUUCAAUAAUGUUUCCAGGAAUUCUUUUCUUGUCUUCUUCAACAAAUAGAAUUUGCGUCCAAUUUUUCCCAAGGAAACAAAGAACAACUCAUAAAGUGAUCACAGAUACCGGAAGAUGAUGAUGAAGAAUACGUGCGGCGGUGGAAUAAGAUGGCGGCGGGGAUAA
rnacentral:lncRNA from 1 species